rnacentral:rRNA from 1 species
AGAGUUUGAUCCUGGCUCAGAGUGAACGCUGGCGGUAGGCCUAACACAUGCAAGUCGAACGGCAGCACAGGAGAGCUUGCUCUCUGGGUGGCGAGUGGCGGACGGGUGAGGAAUACAUCGGAAUCUACCUUUUCGUGGGGGAUAACGUAGGGAAACUUACGCUAAUACCGCAUAAGACCUUCGGGUGAAAGCCGGGGACCUUCGGGCCUGGCGCGGAUAGAUGAGCCGAUGUCGGAUUAGCUUGUUGGCGGGGUAAAAGCCCACCAAGGCGACGAUCCGUAGCUGGUCUGAGAGGAUGAUCAGCCACACUGGAACUGAGACACGGUCCAGACUCCUACGGGAGGCAGCAGUGGGGAAUAUUGGACAAUGGGCGCAAGCCUGAUCCAGCCAUGCCGCGUGUGUGAAGAAGGCCUUCGGGUUGUAAAGCACUUUUGUUGGGGAAGAAACCGGCCGGAUUAAUACUUCGGCUGAAUGACGGUACCCAAAGAAUAAGCACCGGCUAACUUCGUGCCAGCAGCCGCGGUAAUAU